UACGAGGGGGCAAGCGUUGUUCGGAAUUAUUGGGCGUAAAGGGCGCGUAGGCGGUGCGGUAAGUCUGAUGUGAAAUCUCCGGGCUCAACUCGGAGUCUGCAUCAGAAACUGCCGUGCUCGAGUGUGGGAGAGGUGAGUGGAAUUCCCGGUGUAGCGGUGAAAUGCGUAGAUAUCCGCAGGAACAUCCGAGGCGAAAGCGGCUCGCUGGACCAUAACUGACGCUGAGGCGCGAAAGCUAGGGGAGCAAACAGG
rnacentral:rRNA from 1 species